rnacentral:miRNA from 1 species
CCAUGAAAUCAAUCUCGUCGU